rnacentral:rRNA from 1 species
AUUGAACGCUGGCGGCGUGCUUAACACAUGCAAGUCGAUCGGUAACGCGGGGGCAACCCUGGCGACGAGAGGCGGACGGGUGAGGAACGCUUGGGAAUCUGCCUAUCAGCGGGGGACAACACGGGGAAACUCGUGCUAAUACCGCAUACGCUCUACGGAGGAAAGCCGGGGACCGCAAGACCUUGCGCUGAUUGAGCGGCCGAUAUCAGAUUAGCUAGUUGGUGAGGUAAAGGCUCACCAAGGCGACGAUCUGUAGCGGGUCUGAGAGGAUGAUCCGCCACACUGGAACUGAGACACGGUCCAGACUCCUACGGGAGGCAGCAGUGGGGAAUUUUGGACAAUGGGGGCAACCCUGAUCCAGCCAUGCCGCGUGAGUGAAGAAGGCCUUCGGGUUGUAAAGCUCUUUCGGCCGGGAAGAAAUCGCGCCAGUUAAUACCUGGUGUGGAUGACGGUACCGGAAUAAGAAGCACCGGCUAACUACGUGCCAGCCGCCGCAGUAAAAC